AACGAACGCUGGCGGCAUGCCUAACACAUGCAAGUCGAACGAGACCUUCGGGUCUAGUGGCGCACGGGUGCGUAACGCGUGGGAACCUGCCCUUAGGUUCGGAAUAACUCCCCGAAAGGGGUGCUAAUACCGGAUAAUGUCUUCGGACCAAAGAUUUAUCGCCUUUGGAUGGGCCCGCGUUGGAUUAGCUAGUUGGUAGGGUAAAAGCCUACCAAGGCGACGAUCCAUAGCUGGUCUGAGAGGAUGAUCAGCCACACUGGGACUGGGACACGGCCCAGACUCCUACGGGAGGCAGCAGUGGGGAAUAUUGGACAAUGGGCGAAAGCCUGAGCCAGCAAUGCCGCGUGAGUGAUGAAGGCCUUAGGGUUGUAAAGCUCUUUUACCCGGGAUGAUAAUGACAGUACCGGGAGAAUAAGCCCCGGCUAACUCCGU
rnacentral:rRNA from 1 species